CUUAUGCACGCCGUAGUGUAUCUUCAAAAACCCAAAUUUUCUCCCAUUCGUAAUAUUCUUAUCUCUUCUCAAAAACCACUAUGCCUCUUGCCGUUUCAUUUUCCUCAGUGACCUCUUCUUCUUGUGCUGCCACCAGUCCACCACAGCCACCAUCCUCGACUUUGCCCAGCGCCUUAGCUCUAACUCUCCGCCUUCCAUCGUCGACCACGGGCGCUAGCUCUCACUCUCGUCGUUGCCUCCGAAGAUCCAAUCGAAAUAUUUCUAUAAGGUAAGGAUUCUUCAAAUUAAUACUCGUCCCUGUCUUUAUAGGGGUCUAGUUUCUUGAAGGAAUUGUAUGAUUUAAUCUAUUGAAUGAGUUAGCAUGAAUCGGAUUAAUACCUAAAAUCAGAUUAUUGUUUGGCUAUUUCCUGAUUCGUUAUGUCAUUCGACUUGAUUUUGAUUUUUGAAUGAAUUAAAUUUAGGUGUUUCCAGUUAUAUCUCUUUCAAGAAAAAUCUUCAACUGUUGAAGGUACUUUUAUUUAUUUCCUUGGUGAAUUGAUUAAAUUGAUUCUUGACAAUGCUAUUUGGAACUUUUACGAGGAACGUUCUGCAAUAUAAAGCUCUAAAUAGACUUCUUUGAUUGAUUUAUAAGUGGCAAUUUUCUAUGCGGAAUUAAUUUAACAACAGGUAAAUUCUAAUAUCACUUGAACAGAAUCUUGGCACAAACCAUUAAGAUUAGUACUUUUUAGUACAUAAGCAGUAUUACAUUACGAGUAAUUGUAGUUACCCAGAGCAAGCAAUGUCCAAGAGUUGUAUUAGCGUAAUACUAGUACCACAAAAAUUUAAAUCCUCCACCAUUUUCAGUAGAAAAUUAAUCGAAAUUUGUCAUUCGUAAUGCAGGUUUCUCAUAGAAUAUACGAAAAUGAAGAUAAACUAAGUAAACUUGUUGAUUGAUUGGUUUGAAGAUUUCUUUUGUUAGUGUUUGUCCACAAAAGAUUUCGAGUUUUUUAAUUUUUGGCCGUCGAAGAUUUAUGAUUUUUCAAAGUAGAAAUUUGAUUUCCAGACAAUAUUUGGAUUAUCACAAAUUGUUGAGAAUUUUUCUCUUCCUUCUGUUCCCUCUCUUCUUUUGUUGUGUCGCGCCAUUAGGCCUCAUGGAAGGUCCAAAGAGGGGUCUGGUUGAGGGGUGUGUAGAUAAAGGGCUGUCAUUUGAUAUGUCUAGCUUAAUAUCACAAAUGUUUUCACUUUUGUUGCUACAAGAACCUUCCAUUUCUUGAUGUGUCAAUCCAAUGGCCAUGGCACUAUCUUCAAUCUUUUCAAAAGUAGACAUGAAAGAUUGAAUAUAAAAUCACUUGUUACAGUUCCCUUUAAAGUUUAAAUCCUCUAGUAGUGGGCUACUGAAGAGAAGCUUUUUGAGGAUUGAAAAGACUAGAAUAGAAGAUUUUCAGAUUUGGAAGAUGAAAAGAAGCAGGAAUCCAAAUGUCCUUGUUAUUAAAUAGUACAUUUGGAUUAAUAACAGAACUAGUAGAAAUAUCCUCAUUAUCAAAUAGUACAUCAUAGCCAAAAUCAAAGGUUGAAAUCUUUUGCUGUGCCUGUAGUGUUGGGCCUAAAACAAAGGCUUUCUAUUUGUCCAAAUUACACAAAUAGGGAUAAAAUAGGGGACUGAUUUGAAAAAUUUUGGUUUUUGUUAAAUACGUCAAAAAUACAACAUAAAUUAGCGCUUAAAGAAAAAUAUGGCAAUUAUGUGUAAUAUUUUUUUUUGGCAAAUUACACUUUAUAUAAUUUCUUUAUAAUAAAUGUAGCUUACAUUUUUAUUUAUUCUGUUACAUAGUUUAUAAUUUUUUAAAUUUUAACUUACUGCCUCUGUAAUAAUGUGAUUAAAUCCAUAUAUUUUGUAUGAAUAAUUCAUAUUACCAAAUUGUGUAAUAAUAUAUUAUUCUUUUCUAAUUUGCUGGUUAUUUAAUUAAUAGAUUAUGUUCGUUUUCUUAAAGUUAGGGACUCCGCAACAACAAAAUAAUACAAGGAAAUGCAAUAUUUGUACAAAUAAUCAUUUUAGGCUAUAAGAGGAAUAGCCAAUAAAGAGCUCGUCUAUCUCUACGAAUCAAACACUAUAUUGUCAUAUAAAAUUCAAAGUUGAGUGCUUUGGUGCACAAUCAUAACUUGCAAACUCAAGUCCAAGAGUUGAGAGAUGAAAUUAAAUAAUUAAAAGCUUUGUUUCAAAUGAAGAGUGAAAAGACUAUAGUUCGACCCAAACAACACUUAGAGGGGGCGUGAAUAGAUGUUUAUACGAAUUUUAACAAUUCAAUCAACUUAUGUAACAAGGCACAUAAAUUAAACUUUAUCCAGAUUCAUUCACAUGAUUUAACUACCUAUGUUGAAUUUCCAAUUGAAUUAAAAAUGACAGAAAGCAAUAAAUAACUCAACAAAUUGUUGACGAAGAAAACCCAACUGGGUAAAAACUCCGGGCACAAGCCAGUAGGGAUUCACUAUAGAAGACUUCAACUUACUGUACGCCAGACAUGACUGUAUCUAACAACACUCUGACCUCCUUUAUCAACCAAAGCUCUCCUGGAUUCUGCAGAUCUACGCCAAAAUCCCAACCUUAUUCUUCUUCUAUUUCUCUUGAAUCAGCAAGAACUCCAGUUCUUCAAUCAAUCUCCUUCCUGGAUCUUCAAUCAGUCGAUCUUCUGGAAGUAGUGAGGAUUUUUGAAAGGUGUUUGAUGUUUUUCUUCAAUAAGACAUAUGAUGAAAAGAAGGAAUUAUGAAGUUGAUCCUUUGGUUGAGAGGAAAAAUCUUUCAAUUGUGUUUUUCCAAAAGUUGUGUAUGAAAAAUGGGACUUUUUAAUAUAUAUGAGGUCGUUUUUAGUAGUAUGAAACGUCUAAAAAUUGCAAGGAAGGAAAAUUACCAAAAGCCGGAUAGCACUGUCGCUCGAGCGAAGUGCCGGCUAAACUCUAGGGACGCACUUUCACUCGAGCGAAGCAGUGGCGAAACUCUAGCGAGAUAGGUUCUGUUAUUUAGGUUCGAGCGAGGUCAGGGCAAAACUCUAGCGUGAUCUUGCGCCGUUUUUCAUCUUCAAGGCACCCAACUUUACCCUAGACCUAUACUAUAAUUUUUGCUAAAUUGCAACACAAGUCCAUGAACUUUUAGACCUUUACAAAUUAGUCUUUAACUUUACAAACUUGACAAAUUGGUCCUUUUGGUCACAGAUUUCCAAUUACAACAUUUUCCUAACAAACUCUCCCUUUAACAUUCUGUAACAAAAUUACACAAGACAGUCAAGGACACAAAAAGAAAUGUAACUCUAAACGACAUAUCCAUUCAACCAAAGCAGCUAUCUCUUGUCAAACCUGUUUCCUGAAAUACAGAAAACCAAUACCAAGUGUAAAAGCACGUGAAAUGGAAACAGUAAAUAAAACAAGGAAUAGUGCGCAUGUCAUUAGCCAGAUUAAGAAGUAAUAGUAAUGUAAGUCAAAAAACCAAAAACAUACAUCAAUAUUGCUAAAACAUCAAAAACUUAAUCUAGCCAUUGAAUAGAUACAAAACCACAGUUAUAUCACAAUUAAUCAAAAAAUGAGAUUUAUAUAUCUAUCAUUUAUCUACUCCUCUUUUUUGUCACAAAUGACAAAGGAGCAAAAACAAAAACUACACUGCAGCACCACCUACAUUCGAAGACUCAUCACCAGUCUUGUCACUUGUGCUCUCAUCCAAGCGAUCACGGAUCCAACGUAACUGACGCUGACACACAGCUAGAGCACACCGAAAUGUAGAAAGCUCAGCAGACCGACGCUCCGAAGCAGCAUGUAACUACGUGAUCUUGACCAUCAUACAAGCCUGCUGCUCGACCAAAGUAGACAUCUAUCCCAUAAGUGUCACGAUGGGGUCAAUGGGAAAGGAAGCCACCCCUGGAGCGGAAGUAGACGUCGAAGGAAGGUCGGCCUGAGACGGAGGAGCUGGAGGAAUAUCCAAACGAGGAGGAAGAAAGACACGGGAACCCCCAGAAAGGAUGUCGCUAAUAGGAUCAAGGGGCUCCGAAAAGUCAAAAAUAUCAACUGGCUCAUCAUGAGCUGCAGCAUGAGUAGAAGAAGAGGACGGGACGUGGGAUCAAAUCUGAUGGAUGGUCUGCUGUCCUAUCGGACGACCUAUACAACUAGACAACCCCUCAAGGAAAGAAGCACCAAGAGAUAAGACAACCCUAUGAAUCAAACAGUCAUAAGACAAACCUAUAUGACCCCCAGGAGUACAAAACAAAGCCAGAAUCUACUGGCACACAAAACUAGGAAGGUCUAUAGAGUCCCCAUGAAGAAGGGCAUAGAGAAAACAGGCCCGCACCAUAGGUAAAGAAGAAGUAUGGGCAACGGGCCACAGGUUUGUGCACACGAUGCGCAACAAGACCUAUCUAUCAGUAGGUAAGGAACCCAUGGCCAUCGCCGCAGGCCCCCCAGCAAACGGGGUGUUCAAAAGAGUCGACCGAACAAGGGCAUCAGCCGGAAGAGAAGCAGGAAGAAUGUAAGGAUAAGUCGGAUGGGAAAUCUGAAGUAUACCUAAUGCAAGAGCUACUGCAGACGGAGUAACUCGAAAAGAAUGACCUCUAAGAAAAACCCUAAACGACGAGCCGUCCACAUCAUGAAUAUUAGCGUAAAACUCCUGAACUAGGAGUGGAGGCGGUGGUGUAAGACCAAUAAGAAGGGGCUCCCAACCCUGGGAAACAAAGAUAGCGGCGAUGUCAACAGGAAGGUCAGACAAAAUUACCUCAUGCUCCAUGAGAACGGGGCGUAAGGAGAACUGAGAAGUGAAGACCUCCUGAGCUGAAGCAGAAAUAAACCUGGAUCUACUGUAAGACGUCGAACCACUAGCGGGCUGUGCAGCUGGCACACGCGAAGAUGGAAAGAAUAAGUACCAUGGAAAAUGCACGUACCACGAUGCAAUAUGACAUGAGAAGAUGCGCACACAAACACACAGAUGAGGCAUAAAGAAAAUGCAUCGAACCACGUAAACGACACGCAAAAUAAAACAAGCAUGACUGAGUGAGAGUCCAAAAAUAUGAUCAAACCACAUAAACUUGAAAGAAGACACACACGGCACGUUACGACAUGCAAACAAAUAGGAAAGAACGAAGGAAAAAAGAAGAAAAACAAAGAAAACCAAAACACACAUAAGAGGUGAAAACCAAAACACACAUAAGAGGUGAACUUUUAUCGAACACGUGACGGGCGCGACUUCGGCACCAAAUUUCAAGCACAUACGGGACCCAAUCACAAAGCCAAAUACAUCCCUAAAAACUCAACUCCAUGGACUUUACAACCAUCCAAGCCACACAUCAAACCGAUUAACGAAACGUAAGAACGACUCCAAUGAAAAUGGACCAAAAGUGUGAAAAAAUGUGAAGAAAAACCAUAGUAAUGCACAAUUCAUGGAAAUUGGUGAUACAAAACAUGUUUAAGAACAAUAGAAACAGCCAAGGAAUGCACAAAACAACAAUAUAACGAAGCAAUGAGAGAAACAAAUUAAAAAAAAACAAAGAAACAGUAAAAAAAAAAAAAAAUCGAAACUGUGAAUUACCCAAAAAUGUGAAGUCAAGAGUUGAAAUUCCGGAUCAAGAACCGUGUUAAAGGUGUCAAAUUAAGGCAAAAGUCAAUGGGAAGUGAAUAAUAUUGAUGGAAGAAAAGAAAGAAAGGAAGGAAGAAAGAGAGAAAAAGAUCGAAUUGCGCGAAAAAAAUGAAAUAGGGCCGCUUUAAAAGGAAUUGUCGCUCGAGCAAGACCUGGGCGAAACUCGAGUGACAUCCAUUCUGCUUUUGUUGCUCGAGCGAAGUCCAGGCGAAACUCGAGCGAAAAUCAAAUGUCAAAAAUAGCACCAAAAAUUUAAAAUUUAAGAAAAAUAGCACAAUUUUCAGAAAAUAACAAAAAUAGCUCCAAAAACGUUUAUUUUUAUUUUCAUUUUGAAUUUUUGUUAUAUCAAAACAAUCUAAAAAUCGAAGAUGAAGCACGUACCCAAAUAUGUAGACGAUGUGAACAAUAAGCACAAAAUCACAAACUCAACAUUCAGAACACAUAGACAAAUCUUAAGUCCACACAUAGUUCAAAAUCCCGUGGAGUAAAUUGUAUACAGAACAUCAACGUGAAAUGUGCCACGUAGUCCAUGCAAGUUAGACUCAAAACCUUAAAUUAGUGAGAAAGGACACGUGAAAACAACUGUAAAGGAAUGUAUAUCGACCAAGUGACAGUCAAAUCCAAUUUCACGAGGACCUAUAUCAAACAGUAUUAUUGUCACAAUUUUACUCCCCCUAACUGUAUGCCCUUUUUUUUUUAAAUAACAUAAGAACUUAGGUUUAAUUCUACCCUCAUUAGGCAACAGAAAUGACUACAGUAACGAACUUUGGGUCGGUGACUCCCAAGCCAGACGACCAUGGGGCACCAGGUUAGAAACCCCUAAGGUUUAAUUGUUCGAGUCAAAUAGGCCCCGAAGACAGACAUAAGUUCAGAGAAUAACAUAGAAAAUGGGGAAAGACAGAAUUGAGUAGGUUAUACUCGUCACAGAUCAAGUCAAAUGGAGAAACAACCCCAAUCACAAAAAAAUACCAUCCCAAGUCUCACCCAUGCGGUCAAGACUCACCUACAGGACUACAGUGUGUGCUGUGUGAAAAUGCAUGACGAGCCAUAUACCAAGAACUCCACAGAAAAUGAGAACUACGAUGGAACCUUAGACUCGUAUAUAUGAUGAAAGAUAGAGUUUGAUCCUAAAUGCAAACGUCAUAAAGUCACACAAGAGGCACACAAAAAGAAAAUCCCUUUUUAUUUUUUUAUUUUUUGUAAAACACACAAACUUAGUAAACAAAAUAAAACUAAAAGACGAACCAACAAUCAAAAUGCACCACACACACAUUGAUCACAUGCAAGAUAUGAAGUGAAUAAGUGCAGAUGUGAUAAAUGCAUGAAUAGGCAUGAAUUCAUGAUCAGAUAGGCAAACAAAUACCAAUAGUCGUCCGAAGCGACUCAAACCUCAACCCAUAUAGUGGUUUCGUAAGUAGAUCGGCCAAUUGGUUGUCAGUAGAGACAUGAUCUAGGGAGACAACAUGUGUUUCAACAAGUUCACGAAUAAAAUGUUGUCGUAUGUCAAUAUGUUUCAUUCGAGAAUGUUGAAUAGGAUUCUUAGAGAUAUUUAUAGCACUGGUAUUGUCACAGAAAACAGUCAUGGUCCCUUUAUUAAUUUCAUGAUCACUCAGCAUCUGCUUCAUCCAGAGAAGCUAAGUACAGCAACUCUCAGCUGCUAUGUAUUCGGCCUCUGCCGUGGAUAGGGAUACGAAAUUUUGUUUCUUACUUAACCAGGCUACGAGAUUGCUACCCAUGUAGAAACAGCCCCCAGACGUACUUUUGCUAUCAUCUGCAUUCCCGACCCAAUCGACUUCAGAGUAGCCAGCCAAAUCAAGAUUAGAAUCUCUAGAAUAGAAAAUGCCUAGAUCAAUGGUACCACUCACAUAUCUAAUGAUGCGUCUAACCGAGCUUAAGUGUGAUUCUUUGGGAUCUGCCUGAAAUCGAGCACACACUCCAACACUGAAAGCAAUGUCAGGUCUAGUAGCUGUGAGAUAGAGAAGACUACCUAUCAUACUUCGAUAUAGUGAAGGAUCUACACUCUUACCUGAAGGAUUAUGACCUAACUUCAAGCUAGUACUCAUAGGUGUCCUAGUAUGCUUCUUACUAUCUAACCCAAAAAGUUUAACUAAAUCCUUUGCAUACUUAGACUGUGAAAUAAACAACCCAUCCUUAGUCUAUUUCACCUCAAGUCCAAGGAAGUAACUCAACUCACCAACCAUACUCAUCUCAAAUUCUUGCUUCAAACACUCGGCGAACUCAUACGCUAGAGACUCAAUGGGAGAACCAAAAAUGAUGUCAUCGACGUAAAUUUGGGCAAUAGUGAUAGUUUCUUCAAUAUGUCUAAUAGAUAAGGUCCUAUCAGCACCACCUCGAGAGAACCCAUGUUUCUCAAGAUAUGACGUAAGUCUCUCAUACCAAACUCUAGGAGCUUGUUUCAGACCAUAGAGUGCUUUGUGGAGUUUGUAGACAUAGUGGGAAAACUUUGGAUCAACAAAUCCUUUUGGUUGUUCAACAUAGACUUCUUCUUGAAGAAGUCCAUUCAAGAAGGCACUCUUAACGUCCAUUUGAUGAAGCUUGAACCCUAGGGUACAGGCAACAGCAAGCAGAAUUCGAAUGGACUCAAGUCGUGCAACAGGAGCAAAAGUCUCAUCAAAAUCAAUUCCCUCAACAUAAGUAUAACCCUGAGCAACUAAUCUGGCCUUAUUUCUGGUUAUAGUACCUUGGUCAUUUGGCUUGUUCUUAAAGAUCCACUUAGUACCAAUAAUAUUACAGUUUUCAGGUCUAGGAACUAAAAUCCACACAUUGUUUCUAGCAAAUUGAUUUAGUUCCUCAUGCAUCGCAUUCACCCAACAUUCAUCACUAAGAGCCUCUUCGACUUUCUUGGGCUCAACCUGUGAAACAUAGCUAGUAUACGCUAGAUUGUUCAGUACCCUCUUACGAAGCCUCAUACCUUCAUCUAAAUCCCCAAUGAUAUUGUCCUUAGGAUGAUUGGACUUGACCCUAGACAAUGGUUCCUUAGGAUUUUUGUCUCGAUCUUGUGGAUGUGUUUCCUUUUCAGGCGUUUCAGGUAUUCUAAGAGAUGAUUCAGACACAGGUGGUUCAGUAGGAUCACUAGACCUUAUAAGAUCACCAUUUCUAUCGUCCAUCCUAUCACAAUUUUCAACAUUCUCCCCCUCACUCACAGCAUCAUCUAUCACAACAUUGACUGACUCCAUCACAACACGAGUACGUGAGUUAUAUACUCGGAAUGCUCGGCUAUUUCUAGAGUACCCUAAGAAAAUUCCUUCGUCACUCUUAGAUUCAAACUUACUCAAGUUCUCUCUAUCACGCAAAAUGUAGCACUUACUCCCAAACACACGAAAGUAUUUAACAGUAGGCUUUUUACCCUUUAGAAUCUCAUAUGGAGUCUGAUCGGUUUUGGGUCUAAGGUAGACUCUAUUGAUUAUGUGGC
rnacentral:lncRNA from 1 species